rnacentral:rRNA from 1 species
GAUGAACGCUAGCGGCAGGCCUAAUACAUGCAAGUCGAACGGUGUCUUCGGACAUAGUGGCGCACGGGUGCGUAACACGUAUGCAACCUACCUUACAUUGGGGGAUAGCCUUUCGAAAGGGAGAUUAAUACCGCAUAAGACAGUAGCUGGGCAUCCAGCAGCUGUUAAAGAUUUAUCGAUGUAAGCUGGGCAUGCGUCCAAUUAGCUAGUUGGUGAGGUAACGGCUCACCAAGGCAAUGAUUGGUAGGGGAACUGAGAGGUCAAUCCCCCACACUGGCACUGAGAUACGGGCCAGACUCCUACGGGAGGCAGCAGUAGGGAGUAUUGGGCAAUGGACGCAAGUCUGACCCAGCCAUGCCGCGUGCAGGAUGAAGGCGUUAUGCGUUGUAAACUGCUCUUAUACAGGAAGAAACGACUCUUGCGAGAGGCAUUGACGGUACUGUAUGAAUAAGCACCGGCUAACUCCGUGCCAGCCGCCGCAGUAAUAC